AGCGAACGUUAGCGGCAGGCCUAACACAUGCAAGUCGCACGAGAAUCCGGCUUCGGUCGGUAGUAAAGUGGCGGACGGGUGAGUAACACGUGGAUAAUCUGCCCCUCGGCGGGGGACAACAGUCCGAAAGGAUUGCUAAUACCGCAUACGUCAGCGAGGUCUUCGGACCUUGUUGGGAAAGAUGGCCUCUUCAUGAAAGCUAUCACCGAAGGAUGAGUCCGCGGCCCAUCAGCUAGUUGGCGGGGUAAUGGCCCACCAAGGCUUAGACGGGUAGCUGGUCUGAGAGGAUGAUCAGCCACACUGGAACUGAGACACGGUCCAGACUCCUACGGGAGGCAGCAGUGGGGAAUAUUGGGCAAUGGGCGCAAGCCUGACCCAGCCAUGCCGCGUGAGUGAUGAAGG
rnacentral:rRNA from 1 species